CCCAGGAAUCAGUCUGGUUGCACUUUGUUGCAUUUCCUCCAUUGCCAAAACGUCCUUCCUCAGAGAAGAAGAUACAAACUGCGCACAGCUGCAUUGCAGGUUUGCAAGAUUGUCUGGCCCUGAUAGCAAACCUGUGUGAAAUUAUGAUGGUUAGAAAUAAAACAGACUGAAGACAACGGAAAAAGCAACAUCAAGCUUAUGGCCAAGACUGCCUCAACAAGAGCAUCUUGAUUGGAAUAAACUAUGCUAAGUUUGCAAGAAGGAUCUGGAGGGCUAAUGUCAAAGAUUAGACUCACAAAGAUUUAUGGAAUGUCCUGGCUGAUGGGAGAUACAUGGAACCGAGUAGUUUCUGUAGAAACAAGGAAGAAAAAUAUGGU